UACGAAGGGAGCUAGCGUUGUUCGGAAUCACUGGGCGUAAAGCGCACGUAGGCGGCUCGUUUAGUCAGGGGUGAAAUCCCGGAGCUCAACUUCGGAACUGCCUUUGAUACUGGCGAUCUCGAGUCCGAUAGAGGUGGGUGGAAUUCCUAGUGUAGAGGUGAAAUUCGUAGAUAUUAGGAAGAACACCGGUGGCGAAGGCGGCCCACUGGCCCGGUACUGACGCUGAGGUGCGAAAGCGUGGGGAGCAAACAGG
rnacentral:rRNA from 1 species